rnacentral:rRNA from 1 species
UACAGAGGGUGCGAGCGUUAAUCGGAAUUACUGGGCGUAAAGCGUGCGUAGACGGUUGCAUAAGUCAGAUGUGAAAGCCCCCGGGCUCAACCUGGGAAUUGCAUUUGAGACUGUGUAGCUAGGGUGCGGAAGAGGGAAGCGGAAUUUCCGGUGUAGCGGUGAAAUGCGUAGAUAUCGGAAGGAACACCAGUGGCGAAGGCGGCCUGCUGGGCUGUGCUGACGCUGAGGCGCGACAGCGUGGGG